GGGUGAGUAACGCGUGGGUAACCUGCCCUGUACACACGGAUAACAUACCGAAAGGUAUGCUAAUACGGGAUAACAUAAGAAAUUCGCAUGUUUUUCUUAUCAAAGCUCCGGCGGUACAGGAUGGACCCGCGUCUGAUUAGCUAGUUGGUGAGGUAACGGCUCACCAAGGCGACGAUCAGUAGCCGACCUGAGAGGGUGAUCGGCCACAUUGGAACUGAGACACGGUCCAAACUCCUACGGGAGGCAGCAGUGGGGAAUAUUGCACAAUGGGCGAAAGCCUGAUGCAGCAACGCCGCGUGAGCGAUGAAGGCCUUCGGGUCGUAAAGCUCUGUCCUCAAGGAAGAUAAUGACGGUACUUGAGGAGGAAGCCCCGGCUAACUACGUGCCAGCAGCCGCGGUAAUACGUAGGGGGCUAGCGUUAUCCGGAUUUACUGGGCGUAAAGGGUGCGUAGGCGGUCUUUUAAGUCAGGAGUGAAAGGCUACGGCUCAACCGUAGUAAGCUCUUGAAACUGGAGGACUUGAGUGCAGGAGAGGAGAGUGGAAUUCCUAGUGUAGCGGUGAGAUGCGUAGAUAUUAGGAGGAACACCAGUAGCGAAGGCGGCUCUCUGGACUGUAACUGACGCUGAGGCACGAAAGCGUGGGGAGCAAACAGGAUUAGAUACCCUGGUAGUCCACGCCGUAAACGAUGAGUACUAGCUGUCGGAGGUUA
rnacentral:rRNA from 1 species